GAUGUAUGUUCAAAAUCUUGUGAUGUAUAUUCAAUAUCUUGUGAUGUAUAUUCGAAAUCUUGUGAUGUAUAUUCUAUAAUCUUGUGAUGUAUGUUCGAAAUCUUGUGAUGUAUAUUCGAAAUCUUGUGAUGUAUGUUCGAUAAUCUUGUGAUGUAUAUUCGAAAUCUUGUGAUGUAUGUUCGAUAAUCUUGUGAUGUAUAUUCGAAAUCUUGUGAUGUGUGUUCUACAAUUCAGUGAUGCGUGCAAUAAAAUUGCAUGACGCAACAGAAAAGUAAGGACAAUUUUCAUUGGUUAGAAAUAACGAAAGUAGCUGAAGCGUCGGGAAAACCAUGCAGGUGAGAAAAAACACAUCAGUUUGUUUAUUGCAGCACUAAUUACGAGAUGCACGAGUGUUGUUCCUGGUGACAUGAUGGAGAUAUUUCGGCCUGCUAGGGAAAAAACUCAGUAAACGUAGAUAUAUUGACAAAAUUUGUAGACGAGCUGAUCGCCAACCAGGAGAUCAGAAUGAUAGCAUCUGCUCCUGCCACUUUAAGGAUGGUAAGAAGGAGGGGGACCCUGCAUAUUUUGCAUGGAAUGAAGGAAAGGCCAUGGAUUUCUCUGAUCCUGAAUGUACAAAAAGGAGGAAAAAAACUCAAAAGUGAGGAGUCCCUGUCAUCUUCACAGAUGGACCAGUUGCAGAUUCCACAAGCACCAAAAUGUCAAUAUCAAGAAAAAUUGAUAUCAGAGCACAACUACUCAGCAUCCUGCACAUUUAACUGUACUCAAGAAAUGCAGCACCUCUCAACAGAAAUACAACUGGAAAAGGAAUUGCUUGCCCUAAAAACAGUCUAGUAAAAGGAAGCCAAUAUCAAUCCACGAUAUUGAAUACAACGAAGAGAAGGUCUCUGAUCAGCAGGGGCAUUUUCUCUAUAUAAGAAGAAAAUGGAGACUCCCUACCCACCCGAUGUAUUUUGUCGGACAGUUUUCUGUACAUUGCAGGUAAAUUUUUUAUUUAUUAACUUUCCAGCCUCUUAUUGU